AGUUGGCAGCGGGCCCACCCUUGGCACCUCUGUUAAAGCUGUCUCCACUGAGCUGGGGCUGGGGCUGGGGGAAGACCUCGCUGGGGGCAUGACCUUGAGGCUCCUGCUGCCUGGAGCCCUGGAGGGAGCGGGUGCAGGGUCCUCCCUUCCACCAGAGCCAGCAGGUGCCCUGGAACGCAGGCCUGGCCCUUGGGACUGCCCUGGUGGCUCCCAAGGCACACGGUUUAGUCCAGGGUCCUUGAACCGUGGCAGGUGGGCCAAAUCCAGCCACUGCCUGGUUUUGUUUGGCCGGCAGGGUCACGUCAGCCCGGCCUGAUGCCUCUGUCACUUGACCUUCUGCCAAUGCCCAGCUGUGAAUCAGUGGAGCCAGCUGCCCUCUGCCUCUUGCUCACCUGCAGAUUCCCACCUGUCCCCUGCUCAGUGUCACUUCCUGGACU